ACUUUACAAUGCGGGAAACCGUGAUAAGGGAACUCCGAGUGUCCGUAAAUUCGGACUGUCCGUAUGUUUAAAAAGCAUACGAAGAAAGGGCCGGGCAAGACCGGUGCCAGCCGCCGCGGUAAUACCGGCGGCUCGAGUGGUGGCCACUAUUACUGGGCUUAAAGCGUUCGUAGCUUGGUUGUUAAGUCUCUUGGGAAAUCUAUCGGCUUAACCGAUAGGCGUCCAGGGGAUACUGGCAAUCUAGGGACCGGGAGAGGUGAGGGGUACUUCAGGGGUAGGAGUGAAAUCCUGUAAUCCUUGGGGGACCACCUGUGGCGUAGGCGCCUCACCAGAACGGCUCCGACAGUGAGGGACGAAAGCUGGGGGAGCAAACCGG
rnacentral:rRNA from 1 species